GCCAGGCGUGGUGGCGCAUGCCUGUAAUCCCAGCUACUUGGGAGGCUGAGGCAGGAGAAUCGCUUGAACCUGGGAGGUGGAGGUUGCAGUGAGCCGAGAUCUCGCCACUGCACCCCAGCCUGGCAACACAGCGAGAUUCUGUCUCAA
rnacentral:SRP_RNA from 1 species